GUGCGAAACAGACGGUGGGUUAAAGGAACACUCCACCCUCAUUUACAUGAAAACUCAACCAUGAGUUUUCUUUCAUCCCUACGAAUUCAUUCCAGGCAUGGACAGCUCGCUAAUCCCACUAAAUACUUUUUUAAUUCUAAACUCUGACGCAUCGGUAGCAUAGAGCUGGGAAGCCCACCCCCCAUCCACUGUAUCUCAUCAUUUUUGGAGGAAUUUGUCUCCUACUUCAUUACGUACCUUCGAUAGAGUCCAAUGAGUAGUUCCACCUGCUUACACACUGCCAACAAUGUAACGUAGGCUGUAUACCCACUUGUGGAGGUAGCAGCUGCUCUAAAACUAAUGCACACAUUAUUAUGGAACUCAGAUUCUUGCUGUGGAACUUUGCAGCCAGCAACAGUUCCAUCAGGAGCCAAAACUGUUUUGGAGCCUUAGUUUUGUACUGAAUCUGCGGCUGAAAUAUUUGGAAAACACCAAUAACACAAAGUGUAGUGCAUGUUACCAAGGAUCUAUAUGCCCUUUUGAUACCAUAUGACAGAGCCUCUGGAAGUUCCAAAAUUUGAGGUAACCAAGAAGAAAGAAAUUUCACCAUAUCUGUUCCUUUUAUGCCUUCAGAGUAACCGCUAACCACAAAAUACAAAAGCUAAAGUAAUUUCAGCUUCCACACACAACACGAUGGAAUCAGAGUUUCAGUGUGAUGAAUGACCGUCUUCUUGUAGACAGUAACUCCUUUUUCGGAAUGGCUUUCUA